rnacentral:ncRNA from 1 species
AGCUAGGGGAGCGGCAGCUGAGAAUGCGGGGAAAUCCCGCGUACCCUUAUUACCUGAUCUGGAUAACACCAGCGUAGGGAAGCAA